GGCCGCCGCGGCGGGGGCGCCCCGGUCGCCGGCGGCGGCCGCGGAGUCCAGCGCGGCCAGCGUCGCCGGGUCCGCGCUGGCGGCGGCCA
rnacentral:tRNA from 1 species